CAGGUUUGUCCUUGCCUUACUAUAAGACUGAAACACUGUGAGUUACCUGUGGUCAUCUGAUGGGUUUCCAUGAGAUUGCAAAGAUGGAAAGAGGAUCUGUUUUGGACACCAAGAAGUACUCAUUAAAAGAGGAGCCUUAAAGAGAAGCAUGUAUUACCUAUAGCCAUGGCAUAGUUCCGAUAAGUCUAUUACUGGAAAUAGCACUUGCAUUUGUAAACACUUAUCCUCCUUCUCCUAUAAGAAUGUGAGAGAUCUGUAAAGGUUCCCAAACUAACACAGGAGAUGCAAAGAAAAUUACAGUGUUUAUGGGGUACAAAAAGUUGAUGGAUCAGGGAAAGGAAAAGUUACCUUUUCUUGGCAAAAUGGUGAAAUGCAAGAGAUUCAUCCACAACUGUGAACUUCCCCAUUUGUGCUACAAUAUCUUGUGUCAUCUGAGCAUGUAUUUUUGCUCUCUGCCCUGAGUCUCCAGUUUUUCAUUUAACUCUGGUCACGUAUUUGCAGUUAGGCGUCUGCCAACCAGGACAUUUGUAUAUGUUCUUAUCCAUUGUUUGUCUCAAAACCAACCUGUGAUGGUUUAGUCAAAGGGAAAUGUUACCAGUUGAUUGUUCAUCUAUUUCUAAGACAAUUAUUCCAAGUG
rnacentral:lncRNA from 11 species